UACGUAGGGGGCAAGCGUUGUCCGGAAUCAUUGGGCGUAAAGAGCGCGUAGGCGGCCCUGUAAGUCCGCUGUGAAAGUCAAGGGCUCAACCCUUGAAUGCCGGUGGAUACUGCAGGGCUAGAGUCCGGAAGAGGCGAGUGGAAUUCCUGGUGUAGCGGUGAAAUGCGCAGAUAUCAGGAGGAACACCGAUGGCGAAGGCGGCUCUCUGGGACGGUACUGACGCUGAGACGCGAAAGCGUGGGGAGCGAACAGG
rnacentral:rRNA from 1 species